rnacentral:rRNA from 1 species
UACGGAGGGGGUUAGCGUUGUUCGGAAUUACUGGGCGUAAAGCGCACGUAGGCGGAUCAGAAAGUUGGGGGGUGAAAUCCCGGGGCUCAACCCCGGAACUGCCUCCAAAAACUCCUGGUCUUGAGUUCGAGAGAGGUGAGUGGAAUUCCGAGUGUAGAGGUGAAAUUCGUAGAUAUUCGGAGGAACACCAGUGGCGAAAGGGCGGACUCACGUGCUCGAUACUGACGCUGAGGUGCGAAAAGUGUGGGGGAGCAAAACAGGAUUAGAUACCCCGGUAGUCC